AUGAACGCUAGCUACAGGCUUAACACAUGCAAGUCGCGGGGAAACGGCAUCGAAAGCUUGCUUUUGAUGGGCGUCGACCGGCGCACGGGUGAGUAACGCGUAUCCAACCUGCCCAUCACUUGGGAAUAACCUUGCGAAAGUAAGACUAAUGCCCAAUGACAUCCCACGAAGGCAUCCGAAUGGGAUUAAAGAUUUAUCGGUGAUGGAUGGGGAUGCGUCUGAUUAGCUUGUUGGCGGGGUGACGGCCCACCAAGGCAACGAUCAGUAGGGGUUCUGAGAGGAAGGUCCCCCACAGUGGAACUGAGACACGGUCCAAACUCCUACGGGAGGCAGCAGUGAGGAAUAUUGGUCAAUGGGCGAGAGCCUGAACCAGCCAAGUAGCGUGCAGGAUGACGGCCCUAUGGGUUGUAAACUGCUUUUAUAAGGGAAUAAAGUGGGUCACGUGUGACUUUUUGCAUGUACCUUAUGAAUAAGGACCGGCUAAUUCCGUG
rnacentral:rRNA from 1 species